UCCUUUUAUCUCGAAUAUAUAUAUUCGAAUACUCUAUCUAAGCAUUCUUAUUUUACUUCUACCCUUUUUUUAUCGAACUUCAUCCUCCUCCGUCUUGACACUUAAUCACUUCAGAUUGAUGAGCUGACUGCGAGAUUUGAUUGGAUCACCGACAUGCAUCAACAACACAUAGACAGGUUCAACAGGUUUGAGUAGGAGGUUAGAGUGCAGUUCCAGCACGUUGAUGCUACACAAAGGUAGAUUCUAGAUUUGCUACAGAGGCAGUUGGCCCGGGGAGACAGGAUAAAGGCAACCUUCCAGCAGAAUAGGAUGGACGAUUUUGACUUUGCUGAUUUUGGCAAGUAUUUUCCACCUCCAGCAGCCGAUGAUGCACCUCCUCCAGUAGCACCACCUCCACCACCACCACCAGCCCAGUAGGAUGAGUAGGGGAGUAUCUCUUCGUAUUUAUCUCUUUUGUUUUCUGUGUACUUAUUAUGUUGCUUCCUAACUUUUUUAUACACUAUGGACAGUGUGUCUUUCAAGUGUGCGGUGGGUAAGCUGUUGUUUUGGCUUUUCUUUUUCUUAUGUUUUCUGAUUGUUAUAUAUUGUAUUAUUGAUGAUGUAUAUAUUUAGGAUACUUAGGAUGUUUAUUAGAUUUUUAUUUAUCUAUGAAAGAUUGAUAGUUAUUAUUAUGAGCAUGAGAUUUUUCCUCCU